rnacentral:rRNA from 1 species
GACGAACGCUGGCGGCGUGCUUAACACAUGCAAGUCGAACGAAGUGGCGAACGGGUGAGUAACGCGUAAUAAACCUGCCCUUCAGAGGGGGACAACAGUUGGAAACGACGGCUAAUAACGAAUAGGGAAGGAGGGGAGUGCGUCAGAUUAGCUAGUGGGAGGGGUAACGGCCCACCAAGGCGAUGAUCAGUAGCCGGUCUGAGAGGAUGAACGGCCACAUUGGGACCGAGACACGGCCCAGACUCCUACGGGAGGCAGCAGUGGGGAAUCUUCCGCAAUGGACGAAAGUCUGACGGAGCCACGCCGCGUGAGUGAUGACGGCCUUCGGGUUGUAAAGCUCUGUUAAUCGGGACGCGGUACCGGAAUAGAAAGCCACGGCUAACUACGUGCCAGCAGCCGCGGUAAUUC